rnacentral:tRNA from 1 species
UGGCUCAGUUGGUAGAGCAUAGUGUUUGCAACGCCAGGGUUGUGGGUUCGUUUCCCAU